AAACCGGAGGAAGGUGGGGACGACGUCAAGUCAUCAUGGCCCUUACGAGUAGGGCUACACACGUGCUACAAUGGCGCAUACAGAGGGCGGCCAACUUGCGAAAGUGAGCGAAUCCCAAAAAGUGCGUCGUAGUCCGGAUUGGAGUCUGCAACUCGACUCCAUGAAGUCGGAAUCGCUAGUAAUCGUGGAUCAGAAUGCCACGGUGAAUACGUUCCCGGGCCUUGUACACACCG
rnacentral:rRNA from 1 species